rnacentral:rRNA from 1 species
UACAGAGGUCUCAAGCGUUGUUCGGAUUCAUUGGGCGUAAAGGGUGCGUAGGUGGCGCCGUAAGUCGGGUGUGAAAUUUCGGAGCUUAACUCCGAAACUGCAUUCGAUACUGCGGUGCUUGAGGACUGGAGAGGAGACUGGAAUUCCGAGUGUAGAGGUGAAAUUCGUAGAUAUUCGGAAGAACACCAGUGGCGAAGGCGGCUCACUGGACCGGUAUUGACGCUGAGGUGCGAAAGCGUGGGGAGCAAACAGG